GAGGAAUAUUGGUCAAUGGACGCAAGUCUGAACCAGCCACGUCGCGUGAAGGAGGCGGCCCUACGGGUUUUAAACCUUUUUUAUUAGGGAAUAAAGUGCCCCCCCCGUGGGGGUUUGGAAGUUACGUUCCGAUAAGGAUACGCCAACUCCGGUGCAGCAGCCGCGGUAAUACGGAGGAUCCGAGCGUUAUCCGGAUUUAUUGGGUUUAAAGGGUGCUCAGGCGGGGGAUUAAGUCGGCGGUGAAAUUUUGCAGCUCAACUGUAAAAGUGCCUUCGAAACUGGUUUCCUUGAGUGCGGAUGAGGUAGGCGGAAUUUGUGGUGUAGCGGUGAAAUGCAUAGAUAUCACGAGGAACUCCGAUUGCGCAGGCAGCUUACCAAGCCGUAACUGACGCUCAAGCACGAAGGCGUGGGGAUCAAACA
rnacentral:rRNA from 1 species